UAGGGAAUCUUCGGCAAUGGGGGCAACCCUGACCGAGCAACGCCGCGUGAGUGAAGAAGGUUUUCGGAUCGUAAAGCUCUGUUGUAAGAGAAGAACGUGUGUGAGAGUGGAAAGUUCACACAGUGACGGUAACUUACCAGAAAGGGACGGCUAACUACGUGCCAGCAGCCGCGGUAAUACGUAGGUCCCGAGCGUUGUCCGGAUUUAUUGGGCGUAAAGCGAGCGCAGGCGGUUUAAUAAGUCUGAAGUUAAAGGCAGUGGCUUAACCAUUGUUCGCUUUGGAAACUGUUAAUCUAGAGUGCAGAAGCGGAGAGUAGAAUUCCAUGUGUAGCGGUGAAAUGCGUAGAUAUAUGGAGGAACACCGGUGGCGAAAGCGGCUCUCUGGUCUGUAACUGACGCUGAGGCUCGAAAGCGUGGGGAGCAAACAGG
rnacentral:rRNA from 1 species